GACUGAUGGUGCGGAGCCGGGGCGAAGGGGAGUUUUAACUGAGCGUUCAGUUACUUGACGUAGACCCGAAACCGGGCGACCUACCCAUGAGCAGGCUGAAGCGAAAGUAAAAUUUCGUGGAGGUCCGAACCCACGAGCGUUGAAAAGCUCGGGGAUGACUUGUGGGUAGCGGUGAAAUUCCAAUCGAGCCCGGAGAUAGCUGGUUCGCCCCGAAAUAGCUUUAGGGCUAGCCUCAAGGUGAGAGAUACGGAGGUAGAGCACUGAAUGUCCUAGGGGGUAUUGCACCUACCGAAGACUAGCAAACUCCGAAUGCCGUCAUCUUAUACUUGGGAGUCAGACUGUGGGUGAUAAGAUUCAUAGUCGAAAGGGCAACAGCCCAGAUCGUCAGCUAAGGUCCCUAAAUGUAAGUUAAGUGGUAAAGGAUGUGGGAUUGCACAGACAACCAGGAUGUUGGCUUAGAAGCAGCCACUCAUUCAAAGAGUGCGUAAUAGCUCACUGGUCGAGUGAUCCUGCGCCGAAGAUUUCCGGGGCUAAAACUUACUACCGAAGCUACGGCAUCAGUAAUGAUGGGUAGGGGAGCUUCCCAUACGGGUUGAAGCAUGACCGUAAGGACAUGUGGACAGUAUGGGAGUGAGAAUGUUGGCA
rnacentral:rRNA from 1 species